CAGGUGCUGGGCUUCAACACGCGGCAGCGCAAGGCGUUCCUGAACGCGGUGAUGCGCUGGGGGAUGCCGCCCCAGGACGCCUUCACCUCGCAGUGGUUGGUGCGCGACCUGCGCGGCAAGAGCGAGAAGGAGUUCAAGUGGGUGCAGCGCGUGGCCACGCGUGUCAGCCCGUGUCCUUGCGUGUCAGCCCGUGUCCUCGUGUCAGCCCAUGUCCCCGUGUCAGCCUGUGACUUCCUGUGUCAGCCCGCAUCCUUCUGUCUCAUCCCGUGUCCUCGCGUGCCAUCCCGUGUCCUCGCGUGCCAUCCCAUGUCCUCGCGUGUCAUCCCGUGUCCUCACGUGUCAUCCCGUGUCCUCGCGUGUCAGCCCAUGUCCUUGUGUGUCAGCCCAUGUCCUCGUGUCAUCCCGUGUCCUUGCAUGUGAUCCCGUGUCCUUGCAUGUGAUCCCAUGUCCUCGCAUGCCAUCCCGUGUCCUCGCGUGCCAUCCCGUGUCCUCACGUCAGCCCAUGUCCUCGUGUCAGCCCGUGACUUCCUGUGUCAGCCCAUGUCCUCCUGUGUCGUCUUGUGUCCUCGCGUGUCCUCGCGUGUCAGCCCGUGUCCUCACGUGUCAGCCCGUGUCCUCACGUGUCAGCCCAUGUCCUCGUGUCAGCCCGUGACUUCCUGUGUCAGCCUGUGUCCUCCUGUGUCAGCCCGUGUCCUCACAUGUCAGCACAUGUCCUUGCGUGUCAGCCCGUGUCCUCAUGCCAUCCCGUGUCCUCGCAUGCCAUCCCAUGUCCUCGCGUGCCAUCCCAUGUCCUCACGUCAGCCCAUGUCCUCGUGUCAGCCCGUGACUUCCUGCGUCAGCCUGUGUCCUCCUGUGUCGUCUUGUGUCCUCGCGUGUCAUCCCAUGACCUCACGUGUCAUCCCGUGUCCUCGCGUGUCAUCCCGUGUCAUUGUGUGUCAGCCCGUGUCCUCGUGUCAGCCCAUGACUUCCUGUGUCAGCCUGCAUCCUUCUGUCUCAUCUUGGGUCCUCCUGUGUCAUCCCGUGUCCUCGCGUGUCAGCACAUGGCCUUGCAUGUCAUCCCCUGUCCUUGCUUGUCAUCCCAUGUCCUCACAUGUGAUCCCGUGCCCUCACAUGUCAGCACAUGUCCUUGCGUGUCAGCCCAUGUCCUCGUGUCAUCCUGUGUCCUUGCGUGUGAUCCCGUGUCCUCACAUGUCAGCCCAUGUCCUCGCGUGCCAGCCCGUGUCCUUGUGUCAACCCGUGACUUCCUGUGUCAGCCCGUGUCCUCGCGUGUCAGCCCAUGUCCUCGUGUGUCUGCCCGUGUCCUCCUGUGUCAUCCCGUGUCCUCGUUUGUCAUCUCAUGUCCUCCUGUGUGAUCCCGUGUCCUGUGUCAGCCCAUGUCCUCACAUGUUAGCCUGUGUCCUCGUGUGUGAUCCCGUGUCCUCGUGUGUGAUCCCGUGUCCUCAUGUGUGUCCCCAUGUCCUCGUGUGUCCCCAUGUCCUCGUGUGUCCCCAUGUCCCCAUGUGUGUCCCCAUGUCUUUGUGUCCCCAAGUCCUCUUCCUUGUCCCCCUGCCACCUUUCACGUCUCCCUGUCCCCACUUCUGUCCCCACCCGUGUCCCCAAGUCCCCCCCCAUCUCCCUCCACCCGCGUGUCCCCCUCUGUGUCCCCACUCAUGUCCCCCUGUCCCCACGUGUCCUGCAGUCCCCGCCUCUUGGUGUCCCCCUCUGACCCCCCCAUGUCCCCAUCUGUCCCAUCUUGUCCCCCCGUUGUCCCCGUGCCGCGUGAUGAGCCCUUACUCAGCCGAGCGCCGUCGCCGUCGGUUUUCCUGGGGAGCGGGCGAGGGCCGCGUCCCCCUCGCACCGACACACAGCCACCCCCGCGGGGACAGGGCCGUCCCCGUGUCCCCAAUGUCCCCGGGGGGGGCCGGCCGAGGCCCCCCGGGGUGGGGCCAGAGAUGUGGCAGCACCCGGGCGACGCCGGCACAGCCCUGGGCUGGGCGCUGUGACGAGGGGACAGCUGAUGGCGCGGGGACGUCGCUGGGGGCGUUGGGGGGAAUGGGGGCAAUGGGGGACAGCGUGGGUAACGGGGACAGCGGGGAUGGUGGGGACACUGGGGACAUUGGGGGUGAUGGGGACAUUGGGGACAUCGGGGAUGAUGGGGACAUUGGGGACAUUAGGGACAUCGGGGAUGAUGGGGACAUUGGGGAUGCUGGAGACAUUGGGGAACAUUGGGGGUGAUGGGGACAUUGGAGACAUUGGGGAUGAUGGGGACAUUGGGGGACAUUGGGGGUGAUGGGGACACUGGGGACAUUGGGGAUGAUGGGGAUGCUGGGGACAUCAGAGGUGCUGGGGACAUUGGGGACAUAGGGGACAUUGGGGACAUUGUGGGUGAUGGGGACAUUGUGGGGCAUUGGGAACACUGGGGAUGCUGGGGACAUUGGGGACAUUGUGCGUAAGGGGGACAUUGGAGACAGUGGGGACAGGGACAUGGGUUGAGGACACCAAGGACCAGAGGAACAGGGUGAAGAUGGGACACAGGGGACAUUGGGGACAGAAGGGACGAGGACUUUGGGGCCAGAAGGGACAAGGACACUGGGGACAAUAGGGACGGGGACAUUGGGGACCAGAGGGAUGGGGACAUUGGGGACAGAAGUGACGGGGACAUUGGGGACAGAAGUGACAGGGACAUUGGGGACAGAAGGGAUGGGGACAUUGGGGACCAGAGGGAUGGGGACACUGGGGACAGAAGGGACGGGGACAUUAGGGACCAGAGGAAUGGGGACAUUGGGGACAGAAGGGCCGGGGACAUUGGGGACCAGAGGGAUGGAGACAUUGGGGACCAGAGGGAUGGAGACAUUGGGGACAGAAGGGACGGGGACAUUGGGGACCGGAGAGAUGGGGACAUUGGGGACUGAAGGGACAGGGGCUUUGGGGACCAUAGGGAUGGGGACAUUGGGGACAGAAGGGACGGGGACAUUGGGGACCGGAGAGAUGGGGACAUUGGGGACCGAAGGGACAGGGGCUUUGGGGACCAGAGGAAUGGGGACAUUGGGCACAGAGGAGACGGGGACAUUGGGGACCGGAGGCACGGGGACACUGGGGACAGAAGGGACGAGGACAUUGGGCACAGAGGAGAUGGGGACAUUGGGGACCAGAGGGAUGGAGACAUUGGGGACAGAAGGGACGGGGACAUUGGGGACCAGAGGGACGGGGACAUUGGGGACAGAAGGGACG
ensembl:lncRNA